GUUUAGCAGUUCUCAAGCUUAAAGCCUUCAGUGGCCAUCACAGCAAAGAAUACUUCAAUCAAGUGCUAUAGUGUGCUAAUGCAUCUUAAUAAUAAUAAUGAAAGAGACUCCUUUAAUAUGGGUAGAGGUCUUCAUUUGUUAUUCAUUUAACAGCUUAAAUCCACGGUAAAAAGGAACACGAUUUUCUCUGAUUGUCAGCCCACUUCAGUAAGUGUGGAGUGGUACCUUUAUGUGGGCUUCUUCUGAAUUGCCUUUCAGAAAGCAUGGUGCUCACAAUUCCUUUUGGAACCACAGCAUCUUUCUUUUAAUGCACAUCACAACUGCUGUCAACUGAAAAAAGAAAUGCAGGAGCUGAAAGUUGAGGAUUGUGUUUUACUUGAUGGACAAAACUGAAGAUGUAAAGCUCAGGACACAGCAUCUCAGACAGCUCUGAAGACUGCUCCAAAGAAGUAAUG